GAUGAGCCAGCGUUAUCUCCGUU
rnacentral:siRNA from 1 species